CAAGAAGUCCGAAAGGCUACUUAAAACCAUCGCGAACUUAUCCAAGUUGCUUCGGCGGCGCGGCUCCCCUCACGGGGACCGCAGCCCCCGCCUCUCAGGAGGUAAGGGCAGCCGCCGGAGGUACGAAACUCUGUAUUAUAGUGGUAUCUCUGAGUAUAAAACAAAUAAGUUA
rnacentral:misc_RNA from 1 species